CACGUAGGGGCCAAGCGCUGUCCGGAUUCAUUGGGCGUAAAGAGCUCGUAGGCGGUUCAGUCAGUCGGGUGUGAAAUCUCCGGGCUCAACUCGGAGGGGCCACCCGAUACUGCUGUGACUCGAGUCCGGUAGGGGAGUGGGGAAUUCCUGGUGUAGCGGUGAAAUGCGCAGAUAUCAGGAGGAACACCGGUGGCGAAGGCGCCACUCUGGGCCGGUACUGACGCUGAGGAGCGAAAGCGUGGGGAGCAAACAGG
rnacentral:rRNA from 1 species